rnacentral:rRNA from 1 species
CUACGGGACGCACCAGUGGGGAAUAUUGGACAAUGGGGGAAACCCUGAUCCAGCAAUGCCGCGUGUGUGAAGAAGGCCUGCGGGUUGUAAAGCACUUUCGGUUGGGAGGACUGCUUCUAGCACUAAUAUUGUUGGAAGUUGACGUUACCUUCAGAAGAAGCACCGGCUAACUCCGUGCCAGCAGCCGCGGUAAUACGGAGGGUGCAAGCGUAAUCGGAAUUACUGGGCGUAAAGCGCGCGUAGGCGGCUAGAUCAGUCGGGUGUGAAAGCCCCGGGCUUAACCUGGGAACUGCAUCCGAUACUGUCUAGCUGGAGUACAGGAGAGGAGAGUGGAAUUCCACAUGUAGCGGUGAAAUGCGUAGAUAUGUGGAGGAACACCAAUGGCGAAGGCAGCUCUCUGGCCUGAUACUGACGCUGAGGUGCGAAAGCGUGGGGAGCAAACAGGAUUAGAUACCCGGGUAGUC